UUAGUACUCCCUCCAUCCAGAAAUACUUGUCGUAGAAAUGGAUGUAUCUAGAUGUAUUUUAGUUCUAGAUACAUCUAUUUUUAUCCAUUUCUCCGACAAGUAUUUUCGGACAGAGGGAGUAGUAG
rnacentral:pre_miRNA from 1 species